rnacentral:rRNA from 1 species
AGAGUUUGAUCCUGGCUCAGAACGAACGCUGGCGGCAGGCUUAACACAUGCGAGUCGAGCGCCUCGCAAGAGGAGCGGCAGACGGGUGAGUAACGCGUGGGAAUCUACCCAUCUCUACGGAACAACUCCGGGAAACUGGAGCUAAUACCGUAUACGUCCUUCGGGAGAAAGAUUUAUCGGAGAUGGAUGAGCCCGCGUUGGAUUAGCUAGUUGGUGGGGUAAUGGCCUACCAAGGCGACGAUCCAUAGCUGGUCUGAGAGGAUGAUCAGCCACACUGGGACUGAGACACGGCCCAGACUCCUACGGGAGGCAGCAGUGGGGAAUAUUGGACAAUGGGCGCAAGCCUGAUCCAGCCAUGCCGCGUGAGUGAUGAAGGCCCUAGGGUUGUAAAGCUCUUUCAACGGUGAAGAUAAUGACGGUAUCCGGAGAAGAAGCCCCGGCUAACUUCGUGCCAGCCGCCGCGGUAAUAC